rnacentral:piRNA from 1 species
UUGGGAACACAUACAUGAUUGUAAGCA